rnacentral:snoRNA from 15 species
ACGAAACAUAUUAAUGCCUUCUAUUCACUGUGCCAUCUGAUACACCGUAGAUGAACAGAGGGGAAAAGAACGGCUAGAUGAAAAUUCUAUCCGCGAGCGUACCUCAUACUGAUUAAAGUACUUAACUAUUUUUCAUCAAUUGGCUUUAAUUGGUAGCUGCGUGAGCGGGACAUUC